AAGUCACCUUCUCCUCCCACAAUCCUUCGCGGCGACAAAGUGACUUCUCGCUGCUGUUUGCUGUCUGCUGCUAGCCUGUUGUGAAGCCAUGGCUCCCCCGGUUGCGGUGUCUCCAUUGAUUAAGACUGCCAGGUAUUCAGCUUUGAUCGCUGGCAUCAUAUAUGGCAAGAGGCGAUAUGAUCACUUGAAGCCGAUUGCAGCUGAGGAGAGGAGGAUUGAAGAGGAAGAGAAGAAGGCUCGUGAGGAACAGGAGCGCAUUGCCAAGCAGCUUGCAGAGGCAAAUGAAGACACCAUUCUGAAAUGAAACUUUACUUACGUGCGCACUUCCAAACUUCUCCCUCGUUGUUUUGGAACGGGCAACGUCGGUGCUCAACCAUUCGAACGCUCCCAUGUUGUAGAUAUCGACACUGUUGUUUAGGGAUAAUUUAUUUCUCCGGAUUGCCCGCCUCUACUCCUGUUGAUAAAUUAAUCAUGUAAAUAAUUGGCCCUUAAACGCUUGUUUGUGAAAAUGUCUGCAUGGCUAAACCCCAUCCACCCGCACUAUUUUUUUCCCCAGCCAUUGGUACAUUAUUGAAUUUAAGAAUGCACUUUUUAACAACAACAGUUCUCACUUUGUAUGUCCCAGACUUGCUCACAGACUGUGAAGUUGCUUGAAUAAAUGUAGAGUGGUACCACUAA